AUUGAACGCUGGCGGCAGGCUUAACACAUGCAAGUCGAACGAGCGGCGGACGGGUGAGUAAUGUCUGGGGAUCUGCCUGAUGGCGGGGGAUAACUACUGGAAACUGUAGCUAAUACCGCGUACCAUAGGAUGAGCCCAAGUGGUAUUAGGUAGUUGGUGAGGUAAAGGCUCACCAAGCCGACGAUCUCUAGCUGGUCUGAGAGGAUGACCAGCCACACUGGGACUGAGACACGACCCAGACGACUACGGAAGGCAGCCGUGGGGAAUAUUGCGGCAGGGGGGCAACCUGACGCAGCCAUGCAGCGUGAAUGAAGAAGGCCUUCGGGUUGUAAAGUUCUUUCGGUAGAGAGGCGUGAACUACAGAAGAAGCACCGGCUAACUCCGUGCCAGCAGCCGCGGUAAUUC
rnacentral:rRNA from 1 species